CUCCCGCAACCCUCGGUGGAUUCGCGCGUUCUCGUCCGCUAUCGAGUCCCGUUCGGCUCUCCUAUGAGCGUACCUUUUGGAACCACAGACUUCUCAGCUGCCGCCGUCCGACUGGCCGCGGGCGUACGGGAUUCCCCUUAAACGGACCAAAACGAUAACGUUGCCCACCCGCCGUGUCAAACGGACGCGGCGAUAUUAUCGCCCCUACUCUCCGGCGCGCGUCACUGCGGCGGCGUUGUCCGUCUGUAUGCACACAACGACUAUUAUUAUUAUUAUUAUUAUUAUUAUUAUUAUUAUUAUUAUUAUUAUUAUUAUCAUUAUUAUUAUUAUUAUUAUUAUUAUUACUCACCGGGAUAGUUUAGUUUUGAAACGCGUUAAUUGUACGCGGUUAUUUUACUUAGUGUAAGCGUACGGUAAUAUCGUAUUCGACACAAUUUUAUACAAACGGUUACAAUAAUUUGCCUGCAUAUAUCUACAACGUAAAUAGCGAACGCUCGUGUAUCGUAUUGCAUAAUUAUAAUUUUGGAUUAACCGUGCCGAAUACAUUGUAAAUAAUACGGUACGCGCGUUGUUUUUAAUAUCGCGCCGUUGUACGAACAAAUAAAAAUAAUCGAUUUUAGUGUUUUGAACGUAGGUAUUAAAUUAUAAUUUAUGGCGCCCGUAAUAAUAUUAUAACGUUUUCGUUUCGCGCCAUCUAUAUUAAUCAUGUUUAAAUAACGCGUUCGGAAAUUAACGGCGUUUUAUACGUUUUUAUUAUUGUAAUAUUGUAAUAUAUUACGGCGGAAAUGUGAACACCGUGUAAUAUAUAAUGGUGUUAACGAAAAAAAAAAAAAAAAAAAAAAAAAAUGUAGCUUUCCAAAACCGACGCCUUACCUUAACAAAAAGUUAUUUACCAGAAAGAGGUAC